GGGAAUAUUGCACAAUGGGGGAAACCCUGAUGCAGCGACGCCGCGUGGAGGAAGAAGGUCUUCGGAUUGUAAACUCCUGUUGUUGGGGAAGAUAAUGACGGUACCCAACAAGGAAGUGACGGCUAACUACGUGCCAGCAGCCGCGGUAAAACGUAGGUCACAAGCGUUGUCCGGAAUUACUGGGUGUAAAGGGAGCGCAGGCGGGAAGACAAGUUGGAAGUGAAAUCUAUGGGCUCAACCCAUAAACUGCUUUCAAAACUGUUUUUCUUGAGUAGUGCAGAGGUAGGCGGAAUUCCCGGUGUAGCGGUGGAAUGCGUAGAUAUCGGGAGGAACACCAGUGGCGAAGGCGGCCUGCUGGACAGCAACUGACGCUGAGGCGCGAAAGCGUGGGGAGCAAACAGGAUUAGAUACCCUGGUAGU
rnacentral:rRNA from 1 species